rnacentral:rRNA from 1 species
GACGAACCGUGCGAACGUUAUUCGGAAUUACUGGGCUUAAAGCGCGUGUAGGCGGAUGGGUACGUCGGUCGCUGAAAGCCUCCGGCUCAACCGGGGAACGGGCGCCGAAACGCCCCGUCUGGAGGGACGUAGGGGGACCUGGAACUUCCGGUGGAGCGGUGAAAUGCGUUGAGAUCGGAAGGAACGCCCGUGGCGAAAGCGAGGUCCUGGACGUCUACUGACGCUGAGACGCGAAAGCUAGGGGAGCGAACGGG